AAUCCCGGGGACGGUUGCUGAGCGGGCUUGGCAUCCCGGUCGCGGCGCCUUCCGCCUGACCGCUCCUAAUCCAUCUGUUGGAUCCCGAACGACCUAAGCUGAGCCCGUGCCGGGCGGGCGGGCCGGACUAAGAGAAUUCCCUGAGCUGGUGUCAGCUGCCAAAGGCACUGGGGAACUCACCAGGAGGCGACGGAUGGAGCUAGGGGCCAGCAAGAUGGCGGACGAAACAUUAGCUGGGCUGGAUGAGGGAGCCUUGCGGAAGCUGCUGGAGGUCACAGCAGAUCUAGCAGAGCGGCGGCGCAUCCGCUCAGCCAUCCGGGAGCUGCAGCGGCAGGAGCUGGAGCGCGAGGAGGAGGCCCUGGCAUCCAAGCGCUUCCGUGCCGAGCGGCAGGACAACAAGGAGAACUGGCUGCACUCUCAGCAGCGGAAGGCUGAGCAGCAGGCUGCUCUGGCACGGCUGGCAGGACGGCUGGAGUCCAUGAGUGAUGUGGAGGAGCUGACCACACUGCUGCGAGGCGCUGCUGAGUACGAGGAACGCAAGCUGAUCCGAGCCGCCAUCCGCCGUGUACGGGCCCAGGAGAUUGAGGCCGCCACAUUGGCUGGAAGGUUGUGCAGCGGGCGUCCCAGCAGUGGCUCAAGAGAGGACAGCAAGGGGCGGGCAGCACACAGGCUGGACCGGUGUGAGGUGCCAAAGCCAGAGGAACAGGAGCAGCAGGCAGAGGUCCCAGAGCCAACUCCAACCCCCAAUGGCACCAGCCAUGACGUGACGACAGUGACACUACUGCUUCGGGCCCCACCUGGGGGCACACCCAGCUCACCUGCCUCAGCCGGCAGUUCACCCACCACUACCUCUCCUGAGCCUCCACUGGAGCCUGCCGAGGCCCCACGCCCUGCCACUGAGGCUCUGGGUGGCCCCAAGCCACCUCCCAGCCCGCCCAGGGCUGCCAGCCCUGAGCCCCAGGAACCUCCAGCCACCCCCAGCACGGAGGGGCAGGUGGUCAACAAGCUCCUGCCUGGCCCCACAGAGCCCCCUGCUGCUGAUGGCCCUACCAAAGGUCCCUCCGACACAAAGAGAGCAGACCUGGCUGGCCCUCGCCCCUGCCAACGCUCCCUGUCUGUGCUGAGCCCCCGCCAGCCAGUCCAGAACCGAGAGCCCACCCCCCUUGCCAGCGGACCUUCCCUGUUCCAGCGGGCUGGCUCCGUACGGGACCGUGUGCGCAAGUUCACAUCCGAUUCGCCUAUGGCUGCUGGGCUCCAGGAAGGCCCACUCCGGGCAGCCCUAGGUCCCUCGACCCCUGCAAGGCUCCCAGGCUCCUCCCACAUCAGCACCACCCCUGCCUCCUCCUCCAGGGGCCCCUCCUCACGGGGCCCCAGUGACACCUCCUCCCAGUUCAACAAGGAUCAGCGAGGAACAGCCCGGCCCCUGGCCCAACUUCAGAGCUGCCCCAGGGAGGAGGGCCCCAGGGGGCGGGGCUUGGCUGUCAGGUCCCUUGAAAACAGAGCAGGGGGGCCCAUGGCCCGCUCAGAGGCGCCCAGUGCCCCGCUAGCCGUGGCCGUGGGCACUGCUGAGCCAGGGGCCAGUAUGAAGACCACAUUCACCAUCGAGAUCAAGGAUGGCCGGGGCCAGGCCUCCACGGGCCGGGUGCUGCUGCCCACAGGCAACCAGAGGGCAGAACUGAUGCUGGGGCUGCAGGCGCCCCCCACCCUCCUUAGCACCAGCAGUGGGGGCAAGAGCACCAUCACGCAUAUCAGCAGCCCUGGGAACCUGGCUCGGCUGGGCAGUGUCACUCACGUCACCAGCUUCAGCCAUGCCUCCCCUGGUAGCCGAGGAGGCUGCAGCAUUAAGAUGGAGCCAGAACCAGCAGAGCCCCCCUCUGCAGCAGUGGAGGUGGCCAAUGGCGCCGAGCAGACCCGCGUGGACAAAGCACCAGAGAGGCGGAGCCCUCUGAGCACCGAGGAGCUGAUGACCAUUGAGGAUGAGAGUGUCCUGGACAAGAUGCUGGAUCAAACUACGGACUUUGAGGAGCGGAAGCUCAUCCGGGCUGCGCUACGUGAGCUCCGACAAAGGAAGAGAGACCAGCGGGACAAGGAACGGGAACGGCGGCUGCAAGAGACACGGGCCCGCCCAGGGGAGGGCCGUGGCAACACGGCCACCAAGACCACCACGCGACACAGCCAACAGACAGCCGAUGGCUCAGCUGUCAGCACUGUCACCAAGACCGAGCGGCUCGUCCACUCCAAUGAUGGCAGACGGACGGCCCGCACCACCACGGUGGAGUCGAGUUUUGUGAGGCGCUCAGAGAGUAAGGCCGCCUGGCGUCUUCUCAUGCCUGCCUGCCAGCCCACCUUCCUCAAACUCUCUCCGAACUUCCAUCUGUGUGUCUCUCUGUCCAGCCGUCACUUUCUCUUCUCUGCCUGUGGCUACCUCCAUCCCUCUACCAACCUCCCGCCCCAUCUCCCACAUCCAGCCCAGGACCUCACCCUGCUCCCCUUCCCCUUUCUUGCAGAUGGUGGUGGCAGCACCAUGAUGCAAACUAAGACCUUUUCCUCUUCAUCAUCCAAGAAGAUGGGCAGUAUCUUCGACCGAGAGGAUGAAGCCAGCCCGCGGCCCGGCAGCCUAGCGGCGCUGGAGAAACUCCAGGCAGAGAAGAAGAAAGAGCUGAUGAAGGCGCAGAGCCUGCCCAAGACCUCGGCCUCCCAGGCGCGUAAGGCCAUGAUUGAGAAGCUGGAGAAGGAAGGCACCGCUUGCAGCUCUGGCGGACCCCGCGCAGCUGUGCAGCGCUCCACCAGCUUCGGUGUCCCCAAUGCCAACAGCAUCAAGCAGAUGUUGCUGGACUGGUGCCGAGCCAAGACACGUGGCUACGAGCAUGUGGACAUCCAGAACUUCUCCUCGAGUUGGAGUGACGGGAUGGCCUUCUGUGCCCUGGUGCACAACUUCUUCCCUGAAGCCUUCGAUUAUGGGCAGCUCAGCCCACAGAACCGGCGGCAGAACUUCGAGGUGGCCUUCUCAUCCGCUGAGACCCAUGCGGACUGCCCGCAGCUCCUGGACACAGAGGACAUGGUGCGGCUUCGAGAGCCUGACUGGAAGUGCGUGUACACGUACAUCCAGGAGUUCUACCGCUGUCUGGUCCAGAAGGGGCUGGUAAAAACCAAAAAGUCCUAACCCCUGCUGGGGUCCCACGGGAGAAGAAAAGACGAAGGCCCAGAGGGAGAAAGGGGAUUGCCUAAAGUAAUGUGAAUCAGGGACAGAGCUAGCAGUGCACUCAGAUGCCCCUUGGGGCCUGGAGCCAUUGUGGGGGGCAGCCCACACGUGCACACAUAUACUCAGAGAAGCUGUGCAGGAUGCUGGUGGACUGCGUACCCCUCGUGGAGGUGGAGGACAUGAUGAUCAUGGGCAAGAAGCCCGACCCCAAGUGCGUUUUCACCUACGUGCAGUCGCUCUACAACCACCUGCGGCGCCACGAGCUGCGCCUGCGCGGCAAGAAUGUCUAGCUUCCCCACCGCCCGCAAGGCCGCAGCGGCAAGCUGCCCCCACCAUCCAGGCACCGUCCCCUCCCUGUGCGCCUGCCCACCGCUGCCCUGUCUGUCGCGACACCUUUCCACGCAUACACACACAGCGUUUUGAUAAAUUAUUGGUUUUCAACGA